rnacentral:rRNA from 1 species
UCAGCAUCUUCGNCAAUGGUCGGAAGUCUGNCCGAGCAACCACGCAAGUAGAAGAAGGAUGAAGGCUCGUAAAGCUCGUAUUGUUGAGAAGAUAGGAAUAAAGAGCAGUAAGUUCACUGUGUGACGGUUUUUAUACAGAUAAGGAUGGCUAAAUUCCGUGCCGCCACCCCCGUUAUUCCUGGGUAUCCGACCUUGUUCCGGAUUUAUGGGGUUAAAAGGGAGCCUAGCGGGUAGAUUAAUUCAAAGGUGAAAGUUGUGGGUUCACCAUUAAAAUCUCAGGAGAUUCUUUCACUCGAGAGCACGAUGGGAGAGGGGAGAAUCAGGGGUGUCGCGGAGAAAUGUAGAGAUAUCGAGGAGCACUGCGAUUGAAAAGGCAUCUCUGUGUUGUAGCAACCGACGAGGAUGCUCGAAAGGGGGGGCAUCCNCAGGAUUUGAUACCCUAGUAGUCCCCACAAUCGACGAGGAAUAGGUGCUGGUCCCGACCGGCGGUAAGCGCCCCAGCGAAAGCAUUAAGCAUUCCACCUGGGGAGUACGCCCGCAACGGUG